rnacentral:rRNA from 1 species
GAUGAACGCUGGCGGCGUGCUUAACACAUGCAAGUCGAACGGAAAGGCUCCUGCUUGCAGGGGUACUCGAGUGGCGAACGGGUGAGUAACACGUAGGUGAUCUGCCCUGCACUUCGGGAUAAGCCUGGGAAACUGGGUCUAAUACCGGAUAGGACCACAUUUUGGAUGGUGUGGUGGAAAGUUUUUCGGUGUGGGAUGAGGUCGCGGCCUAUCAGCUUGUUGGUGGGGUAAUGGCCUACCAAGGCGUCGACGGGUAGCCGGCCUGAGAGGGUGUACGGCCACAUUGGGCCUGGGAUACGGCCCAGACUCCUACGGGAGGCAGCAGUGGGGAAUAUUGCACAAUGGGCGGAAGCCUAAUGCAGCGACGCCGCGUGGGGGAUGACGGCCUUCGGGUUGUAAACUCCUUUCGCUAGGGACGAAGCGCAAGUGACGGUACCUGGAGAAGAAGCACCGGCUAACUACGUG